rnacentral:lncRNA from 1 species
UUGAGGUCACUCUAAUUACUCGUCUGUAUGCAAGAAAUAGUCUUCUGAAAGAACCGUUUCCACCCCUUCUUUAAUUAUGAUUUGUUUUCUGUCACUGAAAGGAUUAAACCGAAUGUGCCAAAUCAAAGUAGCGAUAUUAGCACUUUGGAGUGCAUUGAGCCAGUUCUUAAGUAAAAUAUUAAAUCACUCCUCCUGAGAGCUAGGAACAGAAUUGUCCUUGAAAAAUGGAGAUACAAUAUCAGUCAUUAUUGAAUCUGGUCAACCCAUGUGUUUUCUUCGCAUUGAGUUAAAUUGGUGUAUGGGACACAGGCUGAAGGCACCCAAUGCUACAGCAGACUGAAAGGUUAUAUAAUCAAUCAACAGGUCAUUGGAAAAGAAUGAACUUUGGAGAAGCUCAGAGGAAGAAAAUCACGUCUUUGGAAACCAGAAGACACCUGAAGAGUUUUAACAGAGAAUAAAUGGUAGUAGCUGGGACUUAAAGCAUAUAUUUAUAAGAAAAACUAAGAGUAUUAUUGGUAGAGAUUUCAAAAGAUGGCAUUGUAAGGGAGAAAAGAAAAAACAGGGCAGAAUAUCAAAAGAGUUGAAAGCAUGCAUGUGUGAAUAUUUGGUAGAAAUAGAAGGUUCAUAAAAUGUAGAGAUGAAAUUUACAGGGAAGAUUGGAGUAAGGUUACUCAUUCAAGUAACCUUGAAUGAGUAUUUUAAAAUCUGGCGUUUCCUUCUCUAGGUAAGAGAGAACCAUUGAAUUUCUGAAGAUUGUGAAUUUAGAAGUCUAAUCUAAAACAUGUUCAGAAUUGACUUGGGUUGAAGAAGACUAAAGAAUGCAAAAACAUUUAGUAAUACAGGUACAAUAGCUAAUUCCUUCUUUUCACACUGUGAGACUCACACCACAGGGGUUCUCAAAAAUAAUUAAUUCAAAGACUUGUGUCUGAGCAUCUGAAGGAAUAAAAGUAACAUUUAUUGUUAUGGAAAUACAGAGGGAAGCAAUGUGUACAUGCUAGGGGAAACAAAAGUUCAUUUUUAGACCUGAACAAUUUAAGUUAUUUAUUUUACUUCCAAGUGGAAUUGUUGAAUAGGUGCUUGUACAAAAGAACAUUGAGUUCAGAGAAGCAGGAUGGACAGAAAUAUACACUUUUGAAUCAUCCUCAGGCAGAUGGAUACUUAUGACCAUCAGGCUGAGUGAGAUCACUUAUUAAAUGAAUGCAGACACAGAAAUAAAGAUUGAUGAGAAGUGAACCCUGGGACACUCAAACAUUUAGAGGUUGAGAUGGAAAGGAAAGUUGUCCAAUAAAUCUGAGAAUGACGUGCUUGCGAAUUAGGAGACACAAGAGAUGUUCCAGAAGCGAAGGUGUAGACAUUUUUCAGGAAGCAUAAAUUGAACAACUACGUCAAAUGACACAGACUAACCAAGAUGUAAACUUUAAAAUUGUUAUAAAUUUUUCAGUGCCUAUAUAACUUAUGACUUUAUUGAUGCUGGUUUUGGGGGUGAAGUCAGGGGCCAAAACCUGAUUAGAAGGUUUCAACUUAUAAUGAGAGAAAAUAAAUUAGAUACAGAAGAUGCAGAGAACUCUUGAGCAGUUUCACUGUAAUGAGGAGUAGUAAAAUGAAACAGUUAAAUAUGGUUUAAAGAGGAACAUGUAUGUUUAAAUGUACAGUGGUAUGUUGAUGUGCUGAUGAAAAUUAUCCAGUAGAGACGGACAGAAAAAAAUGAUGAUGAACAAAAGAAAGAAUAUAACUGCAAAAAAAACUGGACCUUUAUAAUGUGUGAGUAGAUUCAAGAAAGGGAAAGAUGUUAGACCUAGAUUAAAGCAAGAAUAGUUUAUACAUUAUAACAUGAUGGAAAACAAAAUUUUUGGUACAGAAGAAUGUAUUUUGGCAGAUUUCUUAGGAGGCAUAUGUAGAAGUUUUCUUCUACAUGCUUCUAUUUUCUCAGUAAAACAAAAAUCAUUGUGGGUACUUAGAUUGAGGAAGAGGAGAGAUUGUUGAACUUUAGAGAGAGAUGAGAUGCAGUCACUUCGGUGAUUGAGAGAAUGAACUGAAUACAAAAAAGUAUUUAAUUACUUGGGAGCAUUGAGAUCACUCUUAAAUUUUGUUGAAAAUUAAAUCAGCAGCAAGUAUCAUUUCUCUUGCAAAAUUUUUCUCUGCUUCAAGUAUAGGCUGAGAAUAGAUAGAUUGAGCCAUGACUAGAAUUUUACCAGAUGAACACCAUGGUGGGAAGUGGAGUAACAAUGGUGAGGGCACAUGUAAGGGAUAACAGAACAUGGAAGCUAAGUGAAGAAAAAGGAAGACUGAGAGCAUGAGAAGGGUAAUAAUCAGUUGAACACAAGAGGUGCUCAUCCGUUAUAGAUGUCAUCAGAGUCAAUGCAUCGCUGGAUUGGGAUAACACAGGGAGUAAAAUGGAGAGAUAUGAGCUGGUGGUCAAGAAGAGGGAUGUUUGACAUUGAGCAUUGUACAGUUAUUGCUAACUGAAAAAGCAUACAAUUUGGGGCCAGGCCCGGUGGCUCAUGCCUGUAAUCCCAGCACUUUGGAAGGCUGAGGUGGGCAGAUCACCUAAGGUCAGGAGUUCAAGACCAGUCUAGCCAAUAUGGAAAUCCCCUGUCACCACAAAAAUUACAAAAAAAAAUUAGCUAGGCAUGGUAGUGGGUGCCUGUAAUCUCAGCUACUCAGAAGGCUGAGGCAGGAGAAUCCCUUGAGCCCAGGGGGCAGAGGUUGCAGUGAGCCGAGAUUGCAGCACUUUACUCCAGCCUGGGUGAAAGGGUGAGACUGUGUCUCAAAAAAAAAAAAAAAAAAAAAAAAGAAAGAAAGAAAGAAAAAGAACAAAAGCAUACAAUUUGGGAGUUGAAGAGUUGAAAGAGGGUGCGCGACAAGAUCAUGAAGAGAAAGGAAUUCAAGACUGAGAGUCCAAUAUGUUGCUUGGUUUAUCUGUGUGGAUAUCUAAUUUUUAUGUUAGAAAUAAUAAUGAAGAGAUGGUCGUAAUCCAGGUGCUGAUAUCUUCAAUGACUGAAGAAAAGUGAUCAAGAUAAUGGUAGAUUAUUUUAAAAACAGAGAUAAUGGAUGUGUGGUUUAUAUCAUGGGCUUCAAAUGCCAUAAGAGGGAGAAAGGGAGGGAAAGUGGCUUGUAAUUGGCAAUAUGGAGGUAGGUAGCCUGACAUUACAUUUUGGCCAGGGGUGCUUUUACAUGGGCAAAAAUAAAUUGACUCCUCCAAGAACAUAGCAGAAGCAGCAGUUUACUCAGGUGAUAGCCAUAUUCACUUAAGGCAAGAGAAUAUAGAAGUCACUCAGGAAAAAUUUCGAGUCAAUGGGGCCUAUUGAAAAUAUCUCACCAGAAAAACCAGAUGGCACAAUGGAAUUUCCAAGGAGAAGGAGGGAGAGAUUUCGACUUUAUUAGGAUAGAUCCAGUCUAAUGAACAUGAGAAUUUGAUUGUGACUGAAGCAACUGAAGGAAGAUGUGAUAGGCAGAAGAAUGGCCUCCCCAAAAUAUUUACCCUCUAUCCCUUGGAACUUGUGAAUGCUAUACAGCAUUGACAAAGGGAUUUCAUACUAAGGUUACAAACUGUAAGAUAAACAGACUAUCCUGGAUUAUCUGGGUGGAUCCAGCCUCAUCACAUGAGUCUUUAGAAACCGAGAACUUGACCAGUCUGGGCAAUAUGGUGAGACCCUGUCUCUACUAAAAUACAAAAAAUUAGCCGGGCGUGGCGGCAUGCGCCUGUUUUCCCAGCUACUCGAGAGGCUGAGGCAGGGGAAUUGCUUGAAUCCGGGAGGCGGAGGGUUGCAGUGAGCCGAGAUCGCGUCACUGCACUCCAGCCUGGGUGACAGAGUGAGACUCCGUCUCAAAAAAACAGAACAAAACAAAAAACCCCUAAAACUUUCUGUGGCGGCAAGCAUAACAGAAAUGCAGAGGGAGAGGCGGGGUGGAUGAGGUCAGAGAGAUUUGACUUCUCAUUCCAUUGCUGGCUUUGAGUCUGGAUGAAGUGGUUUAUAAGCCAAGGAAUAUGAGUGGUUUCAGAACCUGAGAACAAUGUCCCUCUGACAGACAAGGGAAUCUCCCUGCUAUGGCUGGGUGGAACACAAUUCUGCCAACAUUAAUAAGCAUGGAAGUGGAUUAUCCCCCUGAGUUCCACAUAAGAAUCCGGGCCAGCUGACACCUUGGAUUACUCUUAAAAUUAGUAUCCUAAAUGAAAGAGGCAAGACAAAAAAAAAAAACUAAGAAACAAUAAUUCUAUAAAAUCAAACUAGUCUAUAGUGAAAGAAAGCAGAUUAGUGGUUCUUUAAAAAUCGAGGUGGAGGAAAUGGUAGAUUAUAAAGGGUAUAGGGGAACAUUUAGGAGUGAUGGAAAUGUCUGUUAUCUUGAUUGUGGUUAACAAUUUUAUAAAUAGACAUAUGUCAAAUCUUACCAAAUUAUAUAUAUUAAAGUAUGAAGUUGGCUGUACAGCAGGUCCUCAAAAAAACAUGUUGUUCAACGUUGUUUCCUUAUAAGGUUGAUGAAAAAAAGAGUUGAUUCUUGUUCAGGGCCACCACCUGUGUGGAGUUUGCACCUUCUCUUGUCUGCGUGGGUUUUCUCCAGGUACUCAGAUUUCUUCACACAUUCCAAAGCUGUGUGCAUGAGGUGAAUGGGCACAUCUACAUGUCCCAGUCUGAGUGAGUGUGUGGGUGUGUGUGGAUGCAUCCUAUGAUGAGAAGGCAUCCUGUCCCCAGCCGGUUCCCACCUGGUUCCCUGAACUGCCAAUAUAGGCUCAGGCUAACUGCCACCCUGAACUGGAAUAAGUGAGUUGGAAAAUGAAUAAAUGAAUGAAUACAAAUGAUUGUCAAAUACAAAUUCAUCAAGUCUAUGGUAAUCAUAAAAAUGUGUGACAAUAAACAAUGCAUCAGGAAAGCGCUCAGCAAGCCCACCCUAUUUGUGAUUGCUUUUAACUGUGGUGGUAGGAGUUGCUUCUGAUGAUCCGUGAUUGCAAACAUUUAUUCCUCCAUUUAACCCACUACACUACAACCGCCCUCACUCACUAGUUCAUAAAAAAUUGAGCAAAUCAUUGUCUUAUUCAUUUUGAUUCAUCUGUCUUAAAUAUAGGUAUAGCCCAUAUUUCUUUCAACAUUUAAUAUUAGGAGGGUUUGGAGUUUUAUUCUAUGUUGUUUGGCUGAAAUCCACAGUUUCCAAGAAACUAUGGGCAAUGUUUAGUGAGAAUGUAACUAUUCUUCAAGUGGAACUCCAUGAAUUGGUUAAAAUAAAACAAAUAAUCCAAGUCAAUGCUGCUUUAUCCCCUAUCCACAGCAAAUAAGAAAAAUAUACACAGACUUUUAGCGACAUGACAAGGUCAGAUUGAUGGAGACAGUACUUCAAAUAUUUUCUAGGUAUUCAGAAACUGUAGAAGAGUUGUGGCACUGCCAUGGUGACCUGAGUCAGGGGGCUACAUGCAGUGUAGCAAUCAUGACACUUAGCACAAAUAAUAGUCCUAACCACUCCAGUUCAUGCUUUCAGCCAAAGAGAAAAAUUCCUCUUGAUGCACUUUAUUAAAAGAUCAAUAUUAACAUUCUUAAAAGAAAUUAUCAUAUUAAGUAAGCAGUCAAGACAGGUGAAACUUUGUUCAUAUAAAGUGAAUUUAGUCUGAGACCUCAGGGUGCUUCUCUUUCAUUUGAAGAACAUACAAGGAGAAAUGAGAUUCAAGUGAAAGUAAAGAUGUUAAGAGAUGCCAACAGUUAAAAAAAAAAAAAAAAGAGAGAGAUUGAAGGUGAGCAUCAUAAAACAUUGCUAAUAAAGAGAAUUGUAGAUUAUAUAUGAAUUUUAUAUUUUUAUAAUGGGUCCUAAUAUCUGAUUCAUGUCAUGAAAUAAAAAAUGUUUUAAUCUCUAGUCAUUUCAAGUUAGAAAUCCUAGCCUUAAUUAGAAUACAAUUAAAAACAUAUUAUCUAUGAAUUGUUCUUGAACAUUUGUAGAUUCUCAGAAGGGCAAGGGUUUGAUUGGUAUAAAUAUUUCUUAAAGAUCCUUGAUCAUAAAAAUCACCUGGGGUGUUUGUUUAAUAUCUAGAUUCCCAGAUUCCUUUCAUGGGUAUUAUGGGAAUAGCACUGGUACUGGUAAUCCAGGAUCAACUUCGCAGGUGAUCUAGUGCUAAGCAAACUUCAGAGACACUGAACUAAGGCAAGAGAAGCUGACUUUGUUCCCAGGUUACUGUUAGGGUGAAAUAACUCUAGGCAUUUAUGAUAGUGAAAAUGUACAUUCUUGAAGUUCAGUGCCAUUUGCCUCAGGUAUCUAACAGAAAAUUAAAUUAAAAACCAGUAGUUUUAAUAACUGAAUAACAGAAAGAAAACUCGGCCAACUUUCUUUGUAGAAUGCUAUGAUAGACAGACUAUCACAUUUAGAGUUAUAUAUCUAAGUUAGAAUCCAAAUUCUGUAGAUUGGUGUGUGAAUUUGAUGAGAAAUUAAACUCACCAAACACAGAGUACUCACUUGUUUUAUAUUAUAGGUAUUAUA